CUCUCUCUCUCUCUCUCUCUCACACACACACACACACACACUCCUUCCCCCCACUCCUCUUUGUAAAACACUGUAUUAUUUAUUUAUUGUGCACGCAUGUAGUGGUUGUGCAGGUGUGCACAUUAUGGCCCAUAUGUGAAAGUCAGAGGACAGUUUGUAGGAGUUGGUUCUCUCCUCCCACCAUGUGGCUCCCUCAGGUUAAACGCAGGCUGUCAAGCUUCACGGCAGGGCCCUUUACCCAUUAAGCUGCCUCGCUGACCCUGGUCUUGUCCUGACCAUCCUGCCUCUACUUCCCCAGUACAGGGGUCAUAAGUGCACAUCCCACAUCUGAAUUUUUUCUCUUUAACACCAAUGCCCAGAUCUUCUCUUUUUCUCAGGGGAUGAGUAUGGGUGUUAGAAAACCAGUACAUUUUUUUGAAAAGCAAUCUGGGAGACUCUGGUGCGCACCCAUGGCUGAGAACUGUGGUCCACUUCGGCCUCUCAGCUUUUGAUAUCAACCUGAAUCUCCUGGGAGUCUUCCUAGAAUGUAGGUUCUGACUCCAGACCUUUGGUGUGAGACCCAAGAGUCAGCAUUUCCAAUUAUGGCCAAGGAGAUGCUAACGCAGCCGGUCCAUAGUCUCAGAAGAACGGUCCCGCAAACCCCCGGCCAUGGCAGAUGGCUAGAAGCUUAUAGCGUUUGUCUCCUCUGCAACCUUGCAGCUCUCGCCAGCCAGGCAGGAAACGUAAUGCCUCGGAAAAGCAGCCAAGGACAUGACCUCAGAUUGAGGCUCGAAGACCGAGAACCAAAGCUUGUCCCCAAAUGACUCUGCCUUUGGCUUCCUGUUGGCUUUUUGGCCACAAGUGUGGUCACAAAGACACCAGCAAAUGAGUGAGUAGUGAGCCUACCCUUUAUGAAGAGUUGCCUUUCUGGAGAGAGCAAGGGAGCAGGGGGAGAGGGAACCAGCCCUGGUUACUUUCACUUGGAUGAGUGGGGACGGGGUGGAGACCAUGGCCUGCCUCAGCAGGAUGUCCCAGCCAUAAAAAGCUGGAGGAAUAGCAGCUCCAGCGAGCCAGAUGCCUCUCAAGCAAGAAAGACGCCUGCCUGAGAGUGUAGCUCUCGUUCUGAUCAAAGACGCUGCUCUCUGUGGUGAAAACCACCACUGGUCAUACGGCACAGAUCAACCAAUCCUGAGGAUCCCAACCCUUACAGGUACAUCUACAAUACUACUCCUGUAGCCACGGCUCGGGGAACAGCACAGAGAAGAUGGUGGGAAGACUUGAAGAGCCAGAGAGCCAGAGGACCAGGAACUCUGCUGUGAGACCGUAUUGCUUAGAACCAAUAACCAAGCUACAUUGUUUGUACCUCAACAAUAUGUCUGCUUAAACAUGAACUGAACGAAGUCCAUGCCAACGGACAUGCUAACUCGGAAUGGGAAAUUUUCACAGGGUCCCCACCCUAGACAAAGAACUCCAAGCAGCUGAUGACUUCUGAGAGAAUUAGUCUCUCUCAGGGAUGAGCCCCCUGAUUGGUUAUCUAAUACCAAGUGGUCAGCAUUAAAAUCACAUUC
rnacentral:sRNA from 1 species